UACGUAGGGGGCAAGCGUUGUCCGGAUUUAUUGGGCGUAAAGAGCGUGUAGGCGGCUUUACAGGUCCGUUGUGAAAACUCGAGGCUCAGCCUCGAGACGCCGGUGGAAACCGUAAAGCUAGAGUCCGGAAGAGGAGAGUGGAAUUCCUGGUGUAGCGGUGAAAUGCGCAGAUAUCAGGAAGAACACCAAUGGCGAAGGCAGCUCUCUGGGACGGUACUGACACUGAGACGCGAAAGCGUGGGGAGCGAACAGG
rnacentral:rRNA from 1 species